UUAAACAUUUUAAUUUCAAACCAAUUUAAUUUCCAUGCUUGGAAAUUUGAAUAUAAAACUUUUUAUAUUUUAUAUCUGAAUGUUUCAGAUAUUAUGCAUGGCGCGUUUUAAGUACUGUGUCCAAGAAACUGCGGAUAGGAUGUUAACCUUCUGCAAUGUUUGAUCCUUAGUAAACAUAAAUCUGAAGUUAUAGCAACUACUGACGAUCUACACCUCUACCUAUACGUCCUUGCAGUCUCUGUGGCAUUUUAGAGACUGAAGGAGCGUGUAGAGUGUGACCGGCUGAUCGAGCUCUCAGCUUUAAGUAUAUAGGUAUAUACAUAUACUUUAAAAUGCAUUCAUCUAACAUUUUUCACACCUUUCAGUUAAUAGAAAAAAGACUUUAAAACCUUUUCUCUAGAACCUGAAUUGCAUGGAGACGAGUUUCCCUGCAGACCCUUCUAGCGAAGUCGUACUAAACUUCGCUCAACGGAUCCUGUUUAUUGUGAAUCCACCACAGAUCGCUGGGUGUGAGCGAUCCUGAUCUCUAUAGGUUGUCAUGCUACAAAAUGAUCCUAUAGACGUCGACUAUCAACCAUGAAGCAAGCUUUAAACCUGUGAACAUGACUAUCUCUCUUGUAACUGGAUAAUGUCCGUAAUUUAUCACCUGAUUAGAGGAUAAAUAAAUACAUAAACUAUUUUGGAGUUAUCUUCUAUACCUCGAGUUAUAAAGAGGAGUUAUUAUACCACGGUACAAUCAAAAUCUUCAGCACGUCCAUGAGACACGUGCGACCCACGAAGUGAGAGAUAACAGUCAUUUAAAGAUACACUUUGAAACCCUAUAAACCCUAAAGUCUCACAAAUCCCUUUCAAUGAUUUCCCCCUUUUUGAGUAUAUAUAUAUAUAGAAUUUAACACAAAUGUUGAUUGGAGGAUGCAAUGUUGAAAAAUACCCUCAUGGAAUAUGAAGUUAGAAGAUUUUUUUUUUAAAUUAGAUGAUUAAAAAUGUUAUAAUGAAAGAGUGAAAUACUUCCGGUUCUUAAUCCCCAAAUCUCAUUAUUUACUUCUGAAUCUGAUGCAGUGCUAAUGAUAACCUUGAUUGUAAAGGUAAUAAGAAAAUUCAUAU